UACAGGGGGGGCAAGCGUUGUUCGGAAUUACUGGGCGUAAAGGGCCAGUAGGCGGCCAACUAAGUCCGACGUGAAAUCCCCGAGCUUAACUUGGGAACUGCGUCGGAUACUGGAUGGCUUGAAUUCGGGAGAGGGAUGCAGAAUUCCAGGUGUAGCGGUGAAAUGCGUAGAUAUCAGGAGGAACACCGGUGGCGAAGGCGGGUCUCUGGGCCGAUACUGACGCUGAGGAGCGAAAGCGUGGGGAGCGAACAGG
rnacentral:rRNA from 1 species